GAUGAACGCUGGCGGCGUGCCUAAUACAUGCAAGUCGAGCGAACAGACGAGGAGCUUGCUCCUCUGACGUUAGCGGCGGACGGGUGAGUAACACGUGGAUAACCUACCUAUAAGACUGGGAUAACUUCGGGAAACCGGAGCUAAUACCGGAUAAUAUAUUGAACCGCAUGGUUCAAUAGUGAAAGACGGUUUUGCUGUCACUUAUAGAUGGAUCCGCGCCGCAUUAGCUAGUUGGUAAGGUAACGGCUUACCAAGGCGACGAUGCGUAGCCGACCUGAGAGGGUGAUCGGCCACACUGGAACUGAGACACGGUCCAGACUCCUACGGGAGGCAGCAGUAGGGAAUCUUCCGCAAUGGGCGAAAGCCUGACGGAGCAACGCCGCGUGAGUGAUGAAGGUCUUCGGAUUGUAAAACUCUGCUAUUAGGGAAGAACAAAUGUGUAAGUAACUAUGCACGUCUUGACGGUACCUAAUCAGAAAGCCACGGCUAACUACGUG
rnacentral:rRNA from 1 species